rnacentral:sRNA from 1 species
AUCUGUUGCGGACAGAUGAAAUGAAUAUGGCUGUCAAAACCACCAGCGGUCAGAAUAUGUCCUUCCCCUGCAAUCGCUUCGGUUGACGGGCCAAUGAUGAUGUUCACGCCAUCUUGCGUAUCCGGGUUGCCCGCUUUGCCGAUCGCAUGGAUAAGACCGUCCUUCAGACCCACAUCCGCUUUGUAGAUGCCAGUGACAUCAACAAUCAGCGCAUUGGUGAUAACGGUAUCCACCGCCCCGCCAUCGCGUGAGACCUGAGACUGUCCCAUACCGUCUCU